AACAAACGCUGGCGGCGUGCCUAACACAUGCAAGUCGUACGAGAAAGGGUCCUUCGGGGCCUGAGUAAAGUGGCGCACGGGUGAGUAACGCGUGGAUAAUCUGCCCUUCAGUUGGGAAUAACUCAUCGAAAGGUGGGCUAAUACCGAAUAAUGCUGUGAGACCUCGGUUGAUCAGCCAAAGAGAGCAUCUGCUUGCAAGCCCUCGCUGAAGGAUGAGUCCGCGUACCAUUAGCUAGUUGGUAGGGUAAUGGCCUACAAAGGCGACGAUGGUUAGCUGGUCUGAGAGGAUGAUCAACCACACUUGACCGGCGACACUGUCCAGACUCCUACGGGAGGCAGCAGUGAGGAGUCUUGCGCAAUGGGGGCAACCCUGACACAGCAACGCCGCGUGCGUGAGGAAUGUCUUCGGAGCGUAAAGCUCUUUCGGAUGGAAAGAACCGCAUAGGGGUAAACAGCCCCUGUGUCUGACGGUACCAUCAAAGGAAGCACCGGCUAACUCCGUGCCAGCCGCCGCCGUAAAAC
rnacentral:rRNA from 1 species